AAGCGUACACGGUGGAUGCCCUGGCAGUCAGAGGCGAUGAAGGACGUGCUAAUCUGCGAUAAGCGUCGGUGAGGUGAUAUGAACCGUUAUAACCGGCGAUUUCCGAAUGGGGAAACCCAGUGUGUUUCGACACACUAUCAUUAACUGAAUCCAUAGGUUAAUGAGGCGAACCGGGGGAACUGAAACAUCUAAGUACCCCGAGGAAAAGAAAUCAACCGAGAUUCCCCCAGUAGCGGCGAGCGAACGGGGAGGAGCCCAGAGCCUGAAUCAGUGUGUGUGUUAGUGGAAGCGUCUGGAAAGGCGCGCGAUACAGGGUGACAGCCCCGUACACAAAAAUGCACAUAUUGUGAGCUCGAUGAGUAGGGCGGGACACGUGGUAUCCUGUCUGAAUAUGGGGGGACCAUCCUCCAAGGCUAAAUACUCCUGACUGACCGAUAGUGAACCAGUACCGUGAGGGAAAGGCGAAAAGAACCCCGGCGAGGGGAGUGAAAAAGAACCUGAAACCGUGUACGUACAAGCAGUGGGAGCCUCUUAAUGGGGUGACUGCGUACCUUUUGUAUAAUGGGUCAGCGACUUAUAUUCUGUAGCAAGGUUAACCGAAUAGGGGAGCCGAAGGGAAACCGAGUCUUAACUGGGCGUUAAGUUGCAGGGUAUAGACCCGAAACCCGGUGAUCUAGCCAUGGGCAGGUUGAAGGUUGGGUAACACUAACUGGAGGACCGAACCGACUAAUGUUGAAAAAUUAGCGGAUGACUUGUGGCUGGGGGUGAAAGGCCAAUCAAACCGGGAGAUAGCUGGUUCUCCCCGAAAGCUAUUUAGGUAGCGCCUCGUGAAUUCAUCUCCGGGGGUAGAGCACUGUUUCGGCAAGGGGGUCAUCCCGACUUACCAACCCGAUGCAAACUGCGAAUACCGGAGAAUGUUAUCACGGGAGACACACGGCGGGUGCUAACGUCCGUCGUGAAGAGGGAAACAACCCAGACCGCCAGCUAAGGUCCCAAAGUCAUGGUUAAGUGGGAAACGAUGUGGGAAGGCCCAGACAGCCAGGAUGUUGGCUUAGAAGCAGCCAUCAUUUAAAGAAAGCGUAAUAGCUCACUGGUCGAGUCGGCCUGCGCGGAAGAUGUAACGGGGCUAAACCAUG
rnacentral:rRNA from 1 species